UCCCUGGUAGCUCAGCUGGUAAAGAGGUCUGCCUGCAAUGCAGGAGACCCUGGUUUGAUUCCUGGGUUGGGAA
rnacentral:tRNA from 1 species